rnacentral:lncRNA from 1 species
AUUGCAUCUCCCCCUAUGUCAUCCCUUCCCCUCACCUGCCAGCUCUCACCUGAACAGGGUGGAGAAGAACUGGGCAAUUGUCCUGUGCUGAGGAACUUUUUACCUGGGUGAAACUUUCUGGUCCGAAGAGCAGAGAGGAGGUUACCAGCAUGGAAUUACCCGAGUGACAGAGCCUCCAGGUUUGGGAAAACCAGCCCCUGGCAAGUGGCUGUGGUGAAGACUCUCUUUUGUCUCCAAAUGCUAAUAGUUCUGGAUUCAAAAUCUUUUUUUCUCUUUGACUGGACCCGGAUAUAAUAAAACAAGAAACUUACAGCA